GUGAGGAAUUUUCCGCAAUGGGCGAAAGCCUGACGGAGCAAUGCCGCGUGAAGGAUGAAGGCCUAUGGGUUGUAAACUUCUUUUCUCAGAAAAGAAUUAUGACGGUAUCUGAGGAAUAAGCAUCGGCUAACUCUGUGCCAGCAGCCGCGGUAAGACAGAGGAUGCAAGCGUUAUCCGGAAUGAGUGGGCGUAAAGCGUCUGUAGGUUGUUUAAAAAGUAUUCUGUAAAAGAUUAGGGCUUAACCCUAGAUAGGCAGAAUAAACUUUUAAGCUAGAGUUUGGUAGAGGCAGAGGUAAUUACCGGUGGAGCGGUGAAAUGCGUAGAUAUCGGGAGGAACACCAAAGGCGAAGGCACUCUGCUGGGCCAAUACUAACACUGAGAGACGAAAGCGAGGGGAGCAAAUGGGAUUAGAAACCCCAGUAGUCC
rnacentral:rRNA from 1 species